rnacentral:rRNA from 1 species
UACGUAGGGUGCGAGCGUUUGUCCGGAAUUACUGGGCGUAAAGAGCUCGUAGGUGGUUUGUCGCGUUGUCCGUGAAAACUCACAACUCAAUUGUGGGCGUGCGGGCGAUACGGGCAGACUGGAGUACUGCAGGGGAGACUGGAAUUCCUGGUGUAGCGGUGGAAUGCGCAGAUAGUCAGGAGGAACACCCGGUGGCGAAGGCGGCUUGCUGGGACGUUACUGACGCUAAGGCGCGAAAGCGUGGGAGCGAACGA